CGGCGGACGGGUGAGUAACGCGUGGGUAACCUGCCUCAUACAGGGGGAUAACAGUUGGAAACGGCUGCUAAUACCGCAUAAGCGCACAGUACCGCAUGGUACGGUGUGAAAAACCCAGGUGGUGUGAGAUGGAUCCGCGUCUGAUUAGCCAGUUGGCGGGGUAACGGCCCACCAAAGCGGCGAUCAGUAGCUGACCUGAGAGGGUGACCGGCCACAUUGGGACUGAGACACGGCCCAA
rnacentral:rRNA from 1 species